UUUAUGGAGAGUUUGAUCCUGGCUCAGGAUGAACGCUGGCGGCCUAAUACAUGCAAGUCGAGCGAACAGAUAAGGAGCUUGCUCCUUUGGCGGCGGCGGACGGGUGAGUAACACGUGGGUAACCUACCUAUAAGACUGGAAUAACUCCGGGAAACCGGGGCUAAUGCCGGAUAACAUGUUGAACCGCAUGGUUCUACAGUGAAAGACGGUCUUGCUGUCACUUAUAGAUGGACCCGCGCCGUAUUAGCUAGUUGGUGGGGUAACGGCCUACCAAGGCGACGAUACGUAGCCGACCUGAGAGGGUGAUCGGCCACACUGGAACUGAGACACGGUCCAGACUCCUACGGGAGGCAGUAGGGAAUCUUCCGCAAUGGGCGAAAGCCUGACGGAGCAACGCCGCGUGAGUGAUGAAGGUCUUCGGAUCGUAAAGCUCUGUUGUUAGGGAAGAACAAAUGUGUAAGUAACUGUGCACAUCUUGACGGUACCUAACCAGAAAGCCACGGCUAACUACGUGCCAGCAGCCGCGGUAAUACGUAGGUGGCAAGCGUUAUCCGGAAUUAUUGGGCGUAAAGCGCGCGUAGGCGGUUUUUUAAGUCUGAUGUGAAAGCCCACGGCUCAACCGUGGAGGGUCAUUGGAAACUGGAAAACUUGAGUGCAGAAGAGGAAAGUGGAAUUCCAUGUAGCGGUGAAAUGCGCAGAGAUAUGGAGGAACACCAGUGGCGAAGGCGGCUUUCUGGUCUGCAACUGACGCUGAUGUGCGAAAGCGUGGGGAUCAAACAGGAUUAGAUACCCUGGUAGUCCACGCCGUAAACGAUGAGUGCUAAGUGUUAGGGUCGUGUAGGGAAGUAGUGUCUUCACACGUGUGCUCUUCCGAUGGGAGUACGGUCGCAAGACUGAAACUCAAAGGAAUUGACGGGGACCCGCACAAGCGGUGGAGCAUGUGGUUUAAUUCGAAGCAACGCGAAGAACCUUACCAAAUCUUGACAUCCUUUGACCGCUCUAGAGAUAGAGUUUUCCUCUUCGGAGGACAAAGUGACAGGUGGUGCAUGGUUGUCGUCAGCUCGUGUCGUGAGAUGUUGGGUUAAGUCCCGCAACGAGCGCAACCCUUGAACUUAGUUGCCAUCAUUCAGUUGGGCACUCUAAGUUGACUGCCGGUGACAAACCGGAGGAAGGUGGGGAUGACGUCAAAUCAUCAUGCCCCUUAUGAUUUGGGCUACACACGUGCUACAAUGGACAAUACAAAGGGCAGCGAAACCGCGAGGUCAAGCAAAUCCCAUAAAGUUGUUCUCAGUUCGGAUUGUAGUCUGCAACUCGACUACAUGAAGCUGGAAUCGCUAGUAAUCGUAGAUCAGCAUGCUACGGUGAAUACGUUCCCGGUCUUGUACACACCGCCCGUCACGCUCUUCCGAUCUUGUAACACCCGAAGCCGGUGGAGUAACCAUUUUGGAGCUAGCCGUCGAAGGUGGGACAAAUGAUUGGGGUGAAGUCGUAACAAGGUAGCCGUAUCGGAAGGUGCGGCUGGAUCACCUCCUUUCU
rnacentral:rRNA from 1 species